GGAUUAUUGGGCGUAAGCGCGCGCAGGCGGUUUCUUAAGUCUGAUGUGAAAGCCCACGGCUCAACCGUGGAGGGUCAUUGGAAACUGGGGAACUUGAGUGCAGAAGAGAAAAGCGGAAUUCCACGUGUAGCGGUGAAAUGCGUAGAGAUGUGGAGGAACACCAGUGGCGAAGGCGGCUUUUUGGUCUGUAACUGACGCUGAGGCGCGAAAGCGUGGGGAGCAAACAGGAUUAGAUACCCUGGUAGUCCACGCCGCCACCCAUGAGUGCUAAAUGUUUAAGGGUUUCCGCC
rnacentral:rRNA from 1 species